rnacentral:tRNA from 1 species
GCACGGAUGGCCGAGUGGUCAAAGGCGCCAGGCUCAAGUUCUGGUGGACGGUUGUCCUCGUGGGUUCAAAUCCCACUUCGUGCA